rnacentral:rRNA from 1 species
UGGGGAAUAUUGGACAAUGGGCGCAAGCCUGAUCCAGCCAUGCCGCGUGAGUGAUGAAGGCCUUCGGGUUGUAAAGCUCUUUCACCGGUGACGAUGAUGACGGUAGCCGGCGAAGAAGCCCCGGCUAACUCCGUGCCAGCAGCCGCGGUAAUACGGAGGGGGCGAGCGUUGUUCGGAAUUACUGGGCGUAAAGGGCGCGUAGGCGGCCUGUUGCGUCGGGUGUGAAAGCCCCGGGCUCAACCUGGGAGGUGCACUCGAAACGGGCAGGCUAGAAACCGAGAGAGGAUCGUGGAAUUCCCAGUGUAGAGGUGAAAUUCGUAGAUAUUGGGAAGAACACCAGAGGCGAAGGCGGCGAUCUGGCUCGGUUUUGACGCUGAGGCGCGACAGCGUGGGGAGCAAACAGG